AGCUCUAAGUGGGUGGUAAACUCCAUCUAAGGCUAAAUAUGACUACGAGACCGAUACGGGCCCGUCGCAAGCGAGGCCAGUGUCUUACGGAGUUACGGACCUAGUGCCGUACCCGUGGCUGGCCAGCUGUUGGCAGGCGGAGUCCUUUGACGGGCAAUACACAAUGAUACCGGUCUGCGACGCUACUGCUUUGGGUACUCUCAG
rnacentral:rRNA from 1 species